UACGUAGGGUGCAAGCGUUGUCCGGAAUUAUUGGGCGUAAAGAGCUCGUAGGCGGUCUGUCACGUCGGCUGUGAAAUCCCGAGGCUCAACCUCGGGUCUGCAGUCGAUACGGGCAAACUAGAGUGAUGUAGGGGAGACUGGAAUUCCUGGUGUAGCAGUGAAAUGCGCAGAUAUCAGGAGGAACACCGAUGGCGAAGGCAGGUCUCUGGGCAUUAACUGACGCUGAGGAGCGAAAGCAUGGGGAGCGAACAGG
rnacentral:rRNA from 1 species